UAACAUCUUACUAACUUUAUACCCUUUUUAUUUGUUGAAGAAUUAAAUGAAGAUGGAGCUUGAUCUUAUCACUUCUUAAGCCAAUAAUCAUCAACUUUUAAAAAGUCAAGUAUUAUCUUUUGGAGUUUGGAUAUCAUUUUCUUUUGGGUAAUUGAAGAUCUACUUCUUUGAAGCUUGGAACCUUGAAGACUUUCUCUUUUGGAGCUUAUUUCCUUAAGUUCUUAUUUUCCUAUUAUUAUUCUCUUACUUGGUUUAGCACCACCUUUGGAGGAAAAUGUAAGGUAACGUCGAACCAUGGACCGGCAUGUAAAAUCCCGGCGUCCGUGUUAGCCGGCACGUAAAAUGCGGUGUCAGACAGGGGGUCCGAGAAAAACUCAUCCUGUGAAGUCUCGAGCAUAACAGUAUUGAGAGGAGUGACGA